UACGUAGGUGGCAAGCGUUGUCCGGAUUUAUUGGGUUUAAAGGGUGCGUAGGUGGGUUGGUAAGUCAGUGGUGAAAUCUCCGAGCUUAACUUGGAAACUGCCAUUGAUACUAUCAAUCUUGAAUAUUGUGGAGGUCAGCGGAAUAUGUCAUGUAGCGGUGAAAUGCUUAGAUAUGACAUAGAACACCAAUUGCGAAGGCAGCUGGCUACACAAAUAUUGACACUGAGGCACGAAAGCGUGGGGAUCAAACAGG
rnacentral:rRNA from 1 species